ensembl:lncRNA
GCGGUAUUUCCCGGCGUAUGGUACGAAGCCCCCCUGGUACAUUUCCUUUGACAGACUUCAUUGGGAGAGAACCUGAAUAUGAUGAUGGAAAAUUUGUGGCUGCACCAGUUAAAAAAGGUGGGGUCAUUCUGAUCCAUGGGGAGGUGGUGCAUCGCAGCGCACAAAACAACUCACACGACUCGCGCCACGUCUACACCUUCCACAUCAUGGAGUCGCAGGACACUCGCUGGAGCCCCGACAACUGGCUACAACCCACCGAAGAGCUCCCUUUUCCACUUCUCUACACCAUAUAAAUGUGUCUUUUUUGUCAGUACCGCUGAAGAAUACACCGACCUUUUGUAAACUUUCGGGUUUAUUUUCCCAUUCAUGUUUUUACAAUUAUACUGAUAAAAAUCAUGUGAAUAAGCCAUCUUUUACAAAUAUUGCCAGGCAGAUGAGCAGUAUAUUUUGUCAUUUAUAGCACUAGCAUUGACAGAAUUUGCUAUAAUUAUAAAAAUUGAUUUGAGACAAGCAGAGCUAAACAGUGAUAUUUACUGAUACUUGUAGCAUAUGUUAACAUUCCCACCCCUUUCCUUAACUGUAUCCAAGAGAAUUAUUUUAAAUUGAAGCCAUCUUUUAUUAUAGGCUCCCUUGCAGUCAUAAGGGUUUUUAAAAAAAACAUUUUUACACUUAAUGCGGUUGCAUUUGUUCUGUACAAACAACUAACAGUGGUGCACAAAAUGUGUGUAGAAUGUGUAAAAAUGUGACAUGAACAGGGAAAUGGAUGUAGCAUUAUUGUCCCAUUAUCAAACUACAAUCCUAUCAUGCUUUGAUGAUUUGACUACGAGCUUUCAUUGCUUUUAUAAGCUUUGAUGCCCUUAUAAGGACAUAUUUAAUGGUUAAGUAAAGGAAAAUGUCAGGUGUUUAAGUGGACAGCUGCCACAGUUGGAAUUAAAUUAUUAGUAGCACAUUUCUACAAAACGAUGUCAAGAAAAACAAAGUCUUUCAAAAAUUUGCCUCGUCUGAACAUCAAGGCACAAAUCAGAGAACAUACGAUAAAAAAAGUCCAGCUAGAGAAAGAAGAGGAAUGUAACAAAGCUGAAUUUCAUUCUCAGUCAAACGUUCCUGAUUUGAGUGAUAAAAUGCUCAAAACAGGGCAACAACUUAGAUGUACGGCCAAGCAGAAUUGUCAGCAGAAGACGGUGCUGUCAAACGGGACGAGCCUCAUGGAGAUGAGCUCGGACGAGAGUGAGGCUGCUGACGUGGGGGAGAAGGCGAGGUUAUACCAAGAAAUCCGGGACCACAGAUUUGCGAUUGAAGCCAUGGAGAAUUCCCUUUCUACAAUGAACGUGAUUAAUGAAGCAAAACGCUCUACUUUGCAGGAGGAAGUUGAAAAACUCAAAGGAGAGAACGCUGCUCUCCAAACAAGUCUGAAGGACUUGGAGACAAAGAGCUUGCAGCAGCUGGAGGCCUUGACUGCUACUGUUGCGGAGAAUGAGGAAAUCACCAAAAAGCAAAAUGGGAAAAUCAGUAGUUUGAUGGAUGAGAGAGAAAGUUUGCGUUAUCAAGUUGAAGAAAGUCAAAAUAGAAUCAAUCAAAACAAGAAACUCAUGAACAAAUUGGAAAUGGAGCAUUGCAGGGAGGUGGAAAUUCACAAACAGGUCAUCCAAGAGCUGAACAAGCUCACGUCCCAAAACUUAAUCCAGAAGGAAGAACUGGAAAAUCCCCAAAAACUCAUCAAGUCCUAUAAGACGCAGUUUAAGCAAAUGCAAACGCGACAUCACCAACAACAGAUCUACAUCAGGAGAUUUGAGGAGGAUCUGCAAUCAUGCGUCCCACUAAUAACCAAAUCCAAAGAGCUCAAGGAGAAAUUCAUCGACCUUAAAAGUCGUUACCUUGACAACAGUCAGGAAGUGCUUUGUAGCGAGACGCCCGGACAAGAAUAUGAGGCUAAAAUCAGCUUCCUGGAGAAAAAGCUGGAGUCUUUGACACAAACAAGGCAGAAUGAUGCAAAACUCAGGCAGCAAAUGCAGCAUAAAUUGACUGAAAUUCUUUCAAGAUUUGACAAGCAAGAGAGCCACUACACUCAGCUACUGAGCAAGGAGAAGAAGAAGUCCAACGCAUUGGAAAAAGAAUUGAAUGAACACAGGGAACUGGUCGUGCAGCUCCAAAAUGCUAAUUUGAUGUUGUCGGCCCUGAAAUGUGACGCUCAGAGUUACCCGGGCAACGUGACCUUCGCGCUCCCUCAAGCUGAAACUGAAACUGAAAGGCUGGGCGGGGCGGCUUCCAGACCCCGCCGGACAAUCGAAACACACCUGAGACUGAUCUCCAGUCAAUCAAGUAAAAGCUGCCAAUGGUGGAGCCACAAGCUAAUUACUCACAAUGAUACCUCUCUUUGGCGGCUCCGUUAUAUGAUAGGGCUGCUUUACAAUAUGGGAUCUGAACAUCUGUUUAAUAAGUUCAAUUAA